AAUAAGUAUAGUUCUGCAUUGUUAAUGUUCAACGUUUAACCGUUCGUCUUAUUUUAAAAUAUUCUAUGAUUAGUAUUUUUAUUGUUAUUAGAUGAUAAAAUAUGAAUAGUAUUUUAUGUGUAACUAAUUUUCAUAAUUUUUUUAAAUAAAAUGAACAGUUAAAUUUUGGGUACAGAUACCCGCGAUUACACUUAUA
rfam:Oryza barthii chromosome 1, whole genome shotgun sequence.